AAACUGGCAGUGAAGAGAAGCAUAUGAAGAAAGAGAGAGAAUGCAGAAGAAAGGAAGAGAAGUAUUAAAACCUGAAGAUGAAUAACAACUCAAAACCGCUGACCUGAGCUCCAAGCUGUGGAACCUGUUCCUGAGAUCAGAGGAAGCUUUCUGGAGCUGAUGGAAAUCUCUGAAAUGAAGAGCUCAGGGGAUUCCUGCAUUCGUGUGCAAAAACAGAAAACUGCCUUCAUCUCUCAUCUGUUUGGAAAGUGCUUCUCUUGCUGGCCAGGAAACCAGGCAGAGUGUUUCUAUGAAGAUGGCCAACUGCAUGGCUGCCAAGCAUGAAGGAAGCACAACUGCAUGAAGGAACAUAGCAGGGGCCAAGAACCAGUCUGCAAAGGAGUGGCAAGAUGAGUG
rnacentral:lncRNA from 1 species